AUGAUAGGUCAUAUUAAUCCUCAGAGAAGACAAUGGAAUCAGGUGAAAAGCAAUUCACUGAGUUUGAAGCAAAUGAGUGGAUGGAAAAAAAGACAUGGAGAUUUUGAGAUAUGGAAGAAGGAAGACAAUAGAGCACAUGAUCUGUUUCUCGGUAGAAUAGGAGACAAAGUCAUGGGGAACAGAAAGGUUCUUGAAUACCCUUUCCAAGAAGAACAGCUGGAAACGAUCCAUGCAGCUGAAGUUAGAUUGCUAGUUUAUAGCCUAUCUUGGACCAUUUCCUGGAAAUAUCCAGUUACCAGAAAUCCUAACAGUGUUUCUUGAGACAGUCAAAGGUAAGACUGAGUUAUAUGGUAUGUUCCUUUGCAACUUUUUCUAAUAAUUGCUGACUAUGAAAGCUAUCCAAACUCUUAGAUAUUCUUCUUUUUCUGGGUUCUUUAAGUUAUACAAUUAGGCUUCUUUCUGAUCACUUCCACACACAUGCGACCUUUUUAUUCUGAUUGAUGAAUAUGAUGAUAGAUUACAUCUCCUGAAUGACCUAUGCCAGAGAACUGCAUAUGAAUGUCAUACCUAAAAGGAGGCUUUGUGUUAGGAUUUAGUAAAAUAAUCAGAGGCUAGUUUUUCAGGUGUUAAAAGGGGUGAAGCCUUCAUUGUCUGACUUCUCUAAUCUACAUUGUUAUCUCCUUAAAAAAAUUAUUAGAAUCUCUAUCAUUUACUUUGAUGCUUAUUAUCUUGUCUUGUAUUGUCGAAUUAUUUCACAUAUCUAUGUUUUACAUCCCAAAGAGAAUUCUUCUACUAGAGAACAGGACAAUGUCUUAUAUGCCUUCAUAGGAUUAAUCACACCACACAGUAGGCAUUUAAAAUGGUUUAUAUCUGGUUUAUGUAAAUUGUUGCACAGACACUAUCUUCAUAGGAAUAGAGUUAAUAUGUGUGAUUUUAUUAGUAUAGAGAAACACUAAGGAAAUGAUGCCUUCUCUACAACGUGUGGUCUUAAAAAGUUGCCUAAAGCAACAAGAUACAAUAUGGGUCAGAAAUAGAGAUCAGAAACCCAGGUCUCUGACUAGUUUUCAGUCUUUCUUGUUUUUAUAAUCAUUUGGAAUUUGAGAGAGUCUAUGUCUCCCACUGUGGUGACUUUAUUAGUCUAAAGGCUUCAAAAUUCUCUGAAUUCCAAGGGUACGAGAUAGGGAUUCCCUAAAGGGCCAUAUGAACUCAAUUAAGCUUGUACUAAGCUUCAACUAGACCUUAACAAGCAGACACAUUUCACUCACAUUUAUAUGUCAGGUUGAUGAACUUAUAGACCUGGUUUGAUAACAUUUCAUCAGCCUACAAUGUUUAUACACCUCACACAAUUUUCCCCAUCAGCACUAUUAAGAACUGAAGUAGAACAAGUCUAUUUUUGUCUUAAGACCUUUGACCCAUUGUUAGCUUGGACAUUGUCUACAAUAAUAUUUCAACCACUGGCAUCCAGCAGUGUAAGCAGUAUGUGCAAUUCCAUUUAUACACCUCCAUGUAAUUUAUAGCUUUUUAAAUGAUAGGUUCAAAGAAAAUUCACUGAUAAUCAUGACUGUGUGGAUAGCCAGGAUGUUUUGAUCAAGUAACUAAUCACUAUAUUUUUCCUUAGUACACUAUUUAGAUGUCAAGUUCACAGCUAGUUCAAACUUAGAAUACUCCUCAGGCAUCAUCUCAAUUUUGUAAAGGAGCACAUGGAAAUAGAAAAGGCCAGGAAUUUACUUCUUCUGAAACAAAGGCAAACUAUAGCUAGAACCCAAGCAUAGUAGUAGUGUCUCCUUAUUGUAUACAUAAUUUGCUUUGUUCUGUUCAUUCCUCUGAGCAGCUAAUUGACAGGUAGAGUACUGGUCCUGGUAUCAGGAAGACUCAUCUUUCUAAGUUCACAUCUGGCUUUAGACACUAGCUGUGUAACCCUGGACAAUUCACUCAACCCUUUUUGCCUCUGUUCACAAAAGGAGCUGAAGAAGGAAAUGAUAAACCACUCCAGUGUCUUUGCCAAUAAAACCACAGAUGGGGUCA
ensembl:lncRNA